CCUACGGGAGGCAGCAGUGAGGAAUAUUGGUCAAUGGACGAGAGUCUGAACCAGCCAAGCCGCGUGAAGGAUGACUGCCCUAUGGGUUGUAAACUUCUUUUAUAUGGGAAUACAAUGUUCUACGUGUGGCAUUUUGUAUGUACCAUAUGAAUAAGGAUCGGCUAACUCCGUGCCAGCAGCCGCGGUAAUACGGAGGAUCCGAGCGUUAUCCGGAUUUAUUGGGUUUAAAGGGAGCGUAGGUGGAUUGUUAAGUCAGUUGUGAAAGUUUGCGGCUCAACCGUAAGAUUGCAGUGGAAACUGGCAGUGUUGAGUACAGUAGAGGUGGGCGGAAUUCGUGGUGUAGCGGUGAAAUGCUUAGAUAUGACGAAGAACUCCGAGUGCGAAGGCAGCUCACUGGACUGCAACUGACGCUGAGGCUCGAAAGUGUGGGUAUCAAACAGGAUUAGAUACCCUGGUAGUC
rnacentral:rRNA from 1 species